UACGAAGGGGGCUAGCGUUGCUCGGAAUCACUGGGCGUAAAGGGUGCGUAGGCGGGUCUUUAAGUCAGGGGUGAAAUCCUGGAGCUCAACUCCAGAACUGCCUUUGAUACUGAGGGGCUUGAGUCCGGGAGAGGUGAGUGGAACUGCGAGUGUAGAGGUGAAAUUCGUAGAUAUUCGCAAGAACACCAGUGGCGAAGGCGGCUCACUGGCCCGGUACUGACGCUGAGGUGCGAAAGCGUGGGGAGCAAACAGGG
rnacentral:rRNA from 1 species